rnacentral:rRNA from 1 species
UACAGAGGGGGCAAGCGUUGUUCGGAAUUACUGGGCGUAAAGGGCGCGUAGGCGGCACCGCAAGUCGACUGUGAAAUCUCCGGGCUUAACUCGGAAAGGUCAGCCGAUACUGCGGGGCUAGAGUGCAGAAGGGGCAACUGGAAUUCUCGGUGUAGCGGUGAAAUGCGUAGAUAUCGAGAGGAACACCUGCGGCGAAGGCGGGUUGCUGGGCUGACACUGACGCUGAUGCGCGAAAGCUAGGGGAGCGAACGGG